rnacentral:rRNA from 1 species
UACGUAGGGACCAAGCGUUGUUCGGAUUUACUGGGCGUAAAGGGCGCGUAGGCGGCGUGGUAAGUCAGCUGUGAAAUCUCCGAGCUUAACUCGGAACGGUCAGCUGAUACUGCUGUGCUAGAGUACAGAAGGGGCAAUCGGAAUUCUUGGUGUAGCGGUGAAAUGCGUAGAUAUCAAGAGGAACACCUGAGGCGAAGGCGGGUUGCUGGGCUGACACUGACGCUGAUGCGCGAAAGCUAGGGGAGCGAACGGG